rnacentral:misc_RNA from 1 species
UUUCCGUAGGUGAACCUGCGGAAGGAUCAUUAAUGAGUUGUCAUGGGGUUCGAUGCUGGCAGCCAAUUUUUGGAUGCAUGUGCUUGCCCUAACAAUCAUCUUCCAAACACCUGUGCACAUUUUUGAGGGAGUCUUGAGUUGGUUGCCGCUCUUGGGUGAUUUUCUCACAUUCCCUUAAAUCAUUAUACGCUAUUAACAAUGUUGAACGUGCUCUGUGCCGCAAGGCUAUUAAUAUAAUACAACUUUUAACAACGGAUCUCUUGGCUCUG